AGUAACCUGCCCUUGACUCUGGGAUAAGCCUGGGAAACUGGGUCUAAUACCGGAUAUGACCUUCCAUCGCAUGGUGGUUGGUGGAAAGCUUUUGUGGUUUUGGAUGGACUCGCGGCCUAUCAGCUUGUUGGUGGGGUAAUGGCCUACCAAGGCGACGACGGGUAGCCGGCCUGAGAGGGUGACCGGCCACACUGGGACUGAGACACGGCCCAGACUCCUACGGGAGGCAGCAGUGGGGAAUAUUGCACAAUGGGCGCAAGCCUGAUGCAGCGACGCCGCGUGAGGGAUGACGGCCUUCGGGUUGUAAACCUCUUUCAGUAGGGAAGAAGCGAGAGUGACGGUACCUGCAGAAGAAGCGCCGGCUAACUACGUGCCAGCAGCCGCGGUAAUACGUAGGGCGCAAGCGUUAUCCGGAAUUAUUGGGCGUAAAGAGCUCGUAGGCGGUUUGUCGCGUCUGCCGUGAAAGUCCGGGGCUCAACUCCGGAUCUGCGGUGGGUACGGGCAGACUAGAGUGAUGUAGGGGAGACUGGAAUUCCUGGUGUAGCGGUGAAAUGCGCAGAUAUCACGAGGAACACCGAUGGCGAAGGCAGGUCUCUGGGCAUUAACUGACGCUGAGGAGCGAAAGCAUGGGG
rnacentral:rRNA from 1 species